AAAUGCCUCGUCAUCUAAUUAGUGACGCGCAUGAAUGGAUUAACGAGAUUCCCACUGUCCCUACUAACUAUCUGGUGAAACCGCAGCUAGGGGAACGGACCUAGCAAAAUCAGCGGGGAAAGAAGACCCUGUUGAGCUUGACUCUAGUCCGACUUUGUGAAAUGAUUUUAGGAGUGUAGAAUAUGUGGGAGAGAAAUCAAUCUUGAAAUACCACAAUCCUGAAUAUUGUUUUACUUAUUUGAUUAUCAAUAAAACUAUUUAUUGUACCAAUAAUCCCACUGGGAUUAGAUAUUUUUCAAAGACAUUGUCAGAUGGGGAGUUCGGCUGGGGCGGCACAUUUGCUAAAAGAUAACGCAAGUGUCCUAAGAUGAGCUCAUUGAGAACAGAAAUCUCAUGUAGAACAAAAGGGUAAAAGCUCAU
rnacentral:rRNA from 1 species